GAUGAACGCUGGCGGCGUGCCUAACACAUGCAAGUCGAGCGGACAGACGAGGCGCUUGCUUGUUUGACGUUAGCGGCGCGGGGGGGUGAAACAUGUGUAUAACCCACCUAGAUGACGGGGAAAACCUCGGGAAACCGGAGCCUAUUCCGGAUUAUCUACUGAAGCCCAUGGUGCGAUAGUUAAAGACGGCUUUGCUGUCGCUUUUCGCUGCUUCCACGCGGGAUUAGCUAGUUGGUCGGGUCACGGCUUACCUAGGCGACGAUUCGUAGCCGACCUGAGAGGAUGAUCGGCCACACUGGAACUGAGACACGGUCCAGACUCCUACGGGAGGCAGCAGUAGGGAAUGUUGCGCAAUGGGCGAAAGCCUGACGCAGCGAGGCCGCGUGAGUGAUGAAGGUCUUCGGAUCGUAAAGCUCUGUUAUCAGGGAAGAACAGAUUUGUAAGUAUACGUGCACGUAUUGACGGUACCGGAUGAAGAAGCACCGGCUAACUACGUG
rnacentral:rRNA from 1 species